rnacentral:tRNA from 1 species
CUCUAAUAUAUAAGCUAUUUGUUU